GACCAGACUCCUACGGGAGGCAGCAGUGGGGGAUAUUGCACAAUGGGGGAAACCCUGAUGCAGCGACGCCGCGUGGGUGAAGAAGCGCCUCGGCGCGUAAAGCCCUGUCAGCAGGGAAGAAAAUGACGGUACCUGAAGAAGAAGCCCCGGCUAACUACGUGCCAGCAGCCGCGGUAAUACGUAGGGGGCAAGCGUUAUCCGGAUUCACUGGGUGUAAAGGGAGCGUAGACGGCGACGCAAGUCUGGAGUGAAAGCCCGGGGCCCAACCCCGGGACUGCUCUGGAAACUGCGUCGCUAGAGUACGGGAGGGGCAGGCGGAAUUCCUGGUGUAGCGGUGAAAUGCGUAGAUAUCAGGAGGAGCACCGGCGGCGAAGGCGGCCUGCUGGACCGUGACUGACGUUGAGGCUCGAGAGCGUGGGGAGCAAACAGGAUUAGAUCCCCUCGUA
rnacentral:rRNA from 1 species